rnacentral:rRNA from 1 species
AUUGGACGCUGGCGGCAGGCCUAACACAUGCAAGUCGAGCGGAUGAAGGGAGCUUGCUCCUGGAUUCAGCGGCGGACGGGUGAGUAAUGCCUAGGAAUCUGCCUGGUAGUGGGGGAUAACGUCCGGAAACGGGCGCUAAUACCGCAUACGUCCUGAGGGAGAAAGUGGGGGAUCUUCGGACCUCACGCUAUCAGAUGAGCCUAGGUCGGAUUAGCUAGUUGGUGGGGUAAAGGCCUACCAAGGCGACGAUCCGUAACUGGUCUGAGAGGAUGAUCAGUCACACUGAAACUGAGACACGGUCCAGACUCCUACGGGAGGCAGCAGUGGGGAAUAUUGGACAAUGGGCGAAAGCCUGAUCCAGCCAGGCCGCGUGUGUGAAGAAGGUCUUCGGAUUGUAAAGCACUUUAAGUUGGGAGGAAGGGCAGUAAGUUAAUACCUUGCUGUUUUGACGUUACCAACAGAAUAAGCGCCGGCUAACUUCG